UGCUGAAGUAUUGAACCAUUGAAGUUUGCUUUAAGAGAAGUGUCAGUUAACCACUUUACCUAAUGAAUGGAUAAAAUAUGUGAGAAGAGCAUUGGAUUUUUCGAUACAAAUUUUCGUUUGCCCUACAAAACGAGUUAUUAUUAUGUAAAGUUGUAAUUAUUGUGAAAUGGACUUACUGUUAUUCAGACAUUUCAAAAUGAAAUUUUAAAUAUAAUAAUAGCUAAACAAUGGUAAAUUGGAUUUUGUUCAUUGUGACCAUUUGUAAACGUACCUACAAUUUAUUUUACGAUGUUUCGUUAAUAGUACCCGUUCCUCGUAAACAACAGAUCGAGC